rnacentral:rRNA from 1 species
UGGAACUGAGACACGGUCCAGACUCCUACGGGAGGCAGCAGUGGGGAAUAUUGCACAAUGGGCGCAAGCCUGAUGCAGCCAUGCCGCGUGUAUGAAGAAGGCCUUCGGGUUGUAAAGUACUUUCAGCUCUUCAACCGACCGGCUGUUUGUGUGAAGUGAUUCACAUCCGCCGUGUCGAUGGAGGCGCAUUAUAGGGAUCCCAUUUUUUUGCACAAGCGUU